AGUGGGGCGGGGCCAGGGGCAAAGGCAUGGGCUUUUGUAUCUUUGUAUGAAAAAGGUGUCAGUGAUGCGACCCUAGGGCCAAUGUACUAGUCUUCACGUGGCCUUUAUGGUGAUUUGAAAUUUGCAAUCCCUGCUCUAGACAGUAUUGAUGGCCCCAGUACUGAACGGGAGUUCAAGUCAACAUGCUCCCUUCUACUUGCCAGUACAGAGGAUGUCAACUCUUGGAUGGCUGGUGAUGGCAGUACUGACAGCACCAGUAAGUCUCUGGCCACAAUGAAUGCCUCCAGAGUGGACGGCACCACUAUCUUGCUCGUACCAUGCUGUCCUUCUGGUGCUGACGGCUGAUCCUGGACUGGACUCCGAGCCUGCAAAUCGGACGCAGUUGACAGUACUGUCUGUCAAGUGGGGACAGAGGAAUGGCCAGACUCAGAAAGCGAAUGCUCUGCAAACAUCCAAUGUGCGGAGUAAGGCCUCCUUCCCGUCCGCAUGUGGUUUAGGAAAAAAUACAGAACAGGCCUUCUUGACCCCCGUCAGCCAUGGAGUAACCAGACUUUAAGGUUGGGGUUCGGGUGACGGACUCAUCCCGCAUCUUGUGAUAGACGGUACUGUGACAGACUCAGACCAGAAGGAUAUAAGAGAGUAGUGGAAGGGAGGUAUAUCAGCCUCAGAAUGAGUAGAUCCCUGUCCCCUGGAUAGCCAAACAAAGGCUACUCCAGGCCAAUCAAGACACCUGACACCAAUUUAACCAGUUAAGGUCGUUAGGCUAAUACCAGCACCUGACCUCAAUUAACUGGCAAAGGGUCAGUUAAGGCCAUUAGGCUAAUGGAGACAGCUGGAACCAAUUAAGGUCCUACUCAUACUGCUUAAAAGUUCUCCUUUCCAGUUCUCUCUUGAGAAGCCCAGGUGAAGGGAGCUGGAGGAAAGGGAGCAUUGCUGAAUCCUGAGGUAAGGGUGAAGCUUGGGAAAAGGUGACCAUGGAGAAGUGGCCCAGGGAACCAAAGCAGCAGUAUCGGUGAAGGGAAAAGCCACCAACAGCUGCUACCAUUAGGGUCCCUGGGCUGGAACCCCGAGUAGAGGGCAGGCCCGGGUUUCCCCCUUCCCCCAUACUCUACUUCCCCUCUCAAGGGGAAUCUCUGUAGACUUUGGUCCAGGCAAGAGACCAAACUGAGCCUACUGAGCUCUAAGGAGCAACAGAGACUGUGGGUAUUCCACCUUCCAUACUGGCCUGUGAUGAAAGUAGCUCAAUAAGUUGUGACCUUUGCUGCUAUACCGGGAAAGGGAAGUCAUAUUGAGGGUGUUAGUGAGCUCCUGAGGCCACUGAAUCCACCUGGAAGCGUGGGACCCACCAAUACAGGCUCGGAGCUUUGUCACAGUACGUAAAUGCCAAGGGUUUUUAAGGUUGCCCUUGAGUCUUUUAGGGUGUGUAACAAAACAUAGGUUUUGUCUGCAAAUAAUUUCUGCCCCUCAAAGGGUAAGUCCUCAGCCGUUGUCUGGACCUCCCUUGGGAGCCUGGUGAGGUGGAGCCAUGAUGCAUGCUGCAUGACCACGGAUGUCACAAUGGAUCGUGCUGCCGUGUCUGCCGAGUCAAGGAGGUCUGGAGGGCCUUCCUGGCAAUGAGACCCCCUUCCGAAAUGUUUGCAUUCUACUGUUCUUUUUUGUCAUCUUGUAAAUUUUCAAUAAAAGUUGACCUUUUGGAGAA